UCAUUUCUUACCAGGACCUUGUCAAAUGCCCAAAUGCCUCCUCCUUCUGACAGCAUAAAUUAAAAAAUUAACGGAGGUCCUGUUGUGGUGCAGCGGAAACGAAUGGAACUAGUAUCCAUGAGGAUGAAGGUUUGGUCCCUGGACUGGUUCAGUGCGUUGGGAAUCUGGCUUCGCUGUGAGCUGUGGUGUAGGCUGCAGAUGCAGCUCAGACCCUGUGUUGCCGCGUCUGUGGCGUAGUAAAAUAUCCUGAAUGCCAACUUAUGGUUGUUACCAUCCCAGGGAUUUUGUCCUUCUUAGAUGGAAAUUGAUAAGAAGCCAGACAGGAAAAUUCAGGGUGAAGGUUUUGCAGCGACUGCAACAAAGUGUCCCAGAUCCCAGGUCCCAGGUCCCAGCCUGCCUCACAAGGUGAACUUCAUUCAGAAGGACGACAUUUUUGAAAAGGAGGAUUACAUUUUCUAAAUCAUAUUAAAGUGAUAAAACUGAUAGUAGUGGUAUAUAUGUUAGCUUGGAGAAGCAGAAACUAAAAGCAUGAUGAAAGUUGGGUGGUAACUGCAAGAGCUCUGAAAGGUCAAACCAGGAUGGUGGGAUUGGUAACCGAAUGAACAUGAGGGUGGGCAGGCAGGCUGGAAACCCAGCAGAGCCAAUAUUUCAGUUCAAGUCUAAGACACCAUCUGCUGGAGAACUUUCUCUUGCUCAGAGGCCACUGAUCCCUUUGCUCCAUUCAGGCUUUCAGCUGAUUAAAUGAAACCCACCCACAUAAGUGAGAGCAAUCUCUUUUAUGCAAAGUCUACAGAUUUAUCUGGUGAACUCAUCAAAAAACAUCCUCAUAGAAACUCCUAGAAUAAUAUUUAAAUAACUAUCUGGGCACAAGAUACCCAGCUAAGGUGAUACAUAAAAUUAACCCUCACGAUAGAUUAUGGAGAUAUUUUUAUAUUGAGACUCCCUAAAGGGCAUCAAUUCUGGUAAUGAACUUAAUGACAUAGAUAAUGCCUUGUAUUAGAAAUUUAUGAAUGAGAAAAAAAAGGGAGGGGAGAAAGGACAGGCCUUUAAAACUAUAAAUUUUUCCAUACACAGAAAAAAGAACAAGCAUUAAGUUUUGUAAGAGAAUGCCUAGGUCCAAAAUUAAGACAAAAUCACAUUUAAAUUAGAAACAAUUAUACAUAUGAGAAUUUGAUGUUAUAAAACCAUUUAUCUGCACCAGAAAAAGAUAUUUUAUCAAUCUCACUGCAAAGAAGUCUAUAAAAUAUGUGCUUUCUGUUGCUCUUUACAUGUAGAAUUGAUCAGUCUUAUUAAAAGGAAUAGAUCAUAUGCUAUUUCUAAUCUAAGUAAAAGGUUACUUAUAUGACAUGGAUCUUGUAACUUUUCUAUGUAGUUAUAAUAAUAUUAACAAAUUUAUCAUCAAGAACAGUAGUGUACGUAAUACAAUAUUAAUGUUUCUCUCUUUUAUUUUUUUUAUGCUUAAUCUGUGAAGAAAGAAAAAUGUUGGAUGACAAUAUUUGAAUAAACUUCUAAGCCUUAA
rnacentral:lncRNA from 1 species